rnacentral:pre_miRNA from 1 species
UAUCUACUCCCUCCGUCCCAUAUUAAGUGACUCAAAUUUGUCCAAAUAUGGAUGUAUCUAUGCCUAAAAAGCGUCUAGAUACAUGUAAUAGAAAGUCACUUAAUAUGGGACGGAGGGAGUAUUAG